GUAUUAAUUUUUCAGCUUGCAAACAAGCUUAUGAUUUGACAUUCUAAACUUUUUUUGAGUAUAUUAAAAAGACAUAGACCAAUAUCUUGCGAAGUCGGCCUACAAAAGUGCACAUGGUGUAAAAAUUUGGAACAAGGUGUGCACAUAUCUAUUACGAUCAGCUACAACCUCUUCAAAAUUCAAUAAUGAUCCUUCCGCAGGUUCACCUACGGAAA
rnacentral:misc_RNA from 1 species